UUCCUUUUAACUCAGCAGUAGAGUGUAAAGCGUAAGCCCUCGGUUCAAAUCCGAUACCUAUAA
rnacentral:tRNA from 1 species